AUUGAACGCUGGCGGAAUGCUUUACACAUGCAAGUCGAACGGCAGCACGGGGCAACCUGGUGGCGAGUGGCGAACGGGUGAGUAAUACAUCGGAACGUGCCCAAUCGUGGGGGAUAACGUAGCGAAAGUUACGCUAAUACCGCAUACGAUCUACGGAUGAAAGCGGGGGAUCGCAAGACCUCGCGCGAAUGGAGCGGCCGAUGUCAGAUUAGGUAGUUGGUGGGGUAAAGGCUCACCAAGCCAACAAUCUGUAGCUGGUCUGAGAGGACGACCAGCCACACUGGGACUGAGACACGGCCCAGACUCCUACGGGAGGCAGCAGUGGGGAAUUUUGGACAAUGGGCGCAAGCCUGAUCCAGCCAUUCCGCGUGCAGGAUGAAGGCCUUCGGGUUGUAAACUGCUUUUGUACGGAACGAAACGGUUCUCUCUAAUACAGGGGGCUAAUGACGGUACCGUAAGAAUAAGCACCGGCUAACUACGUGCCAGCAGCCGCAGUAACAC
rnacentral:rRNA from 1 species